rnacentral:rRNA from 1 species
CGGAGGGAUCAUUACACAACAAAAAUAUGAGGGUGUGGUUUGCUGGCAACAGCGUCCGCCCCAAGUAUUUUUCACCCAUGUCUUUUGCGCACUUUUUGUUUCCUGGGCGAGUUCGCUCGCCACCAGGACCCAACCAUAAACCUUUUUUUAUGCAGUUGCAAUCAGCGUCAGUAUAAUAAUUCAAUUUAUUAAAACUUUCAACAACGGAUCUCUUGGUUCUGGCAUCGAUGAAGAACGCAGCGAAAUGCGAUACGUAGUGUGAAUUGCAGAAUUCAGUGAAUCAUCGAAUCUUUGAACGCACAUUGCGCCCUUUGGUAUUCCAAAGGGCAUGCCUGUUCGAGCGUCAUUUGUACCCUCAAGCUUUGCUUGGUGUUGGGCGUCUUUUUGUCUCUCCCCUUGUUGGGGGAGACUCGCCUUAAAACGAUUGGCAGCCGACCUACUGGUUUUCGGAGCGCAGCACAAAUUUGCGCCUUCCAAUCCACGGGGCGGCAUCCAGCAAGCCUUUGUUUUCUAUAACAAAUCCACAUUUUGACCUCGGAUCAGGUAGGGAUACCCGCUGAACUUAAGCAUAU